GCGACCAAAGCAGCUGCUUAGGGUCCGGCGAGUCUGAGGGGGCCCCGUGACACAACUUAAUCUGAGCAGGAGCCGGCCCGGCACUACAGUGAAGCAACUGAAAAGAAACUACAACUCCCAGCAGCCCUUGCUGCCGAAAGCUCCCUGCAGCAAGGUCUGGGCCAGUCUAAUUGUCCCCAACCUGUCGUACCCGCACCGCACCGACCACCCACCAUUGUGCCGCCGAGCAAGGCCCGUGGUGCUCGGCGGCAGCAUGACUUGACUACAUGGUCACUGCUGCUGUGCUGGAAAAAGCGAUUAGCACACCAAACCCAACGCCGAGUGAGAAACAGAUUUGAGUGGCAGCAUCAAUCCAAACCUUAAACAAUCCACAGAGCCAACCAGACAAAGAAUGGUGGAAGGAGGAGGGAGAGAGAGAAGAGCUGUUAUUAGAGAUAAUUGCAGGAAACUCAUUCAGCAUAAAGAUGAAAGAUACUGUUGAAUACAAGCUCCUGGGAGAGUAAUACCACGUACUAACAGUGCUGUCAAGACAACAUAAGGCAUUGUGGCUGUAAUCCAAACUACCUGAAAACAGAGUCAGAUAUAAGCCAACACAAAAUAAACUGUGAGCAAAACAAGUGUCAGAACAGAAUAGGAAAGUGACAAGUCUGGUGGCACAUAACAGCGGCAGUGAAUAAUGUCACACUGCUUCUAGACCAAAGAGCAGAGAAGGGAGGGAAGGAAAAGAGAGAGUGGCCCCUCCUCCCCCUCCAGCUGGACGCCUGGAACCGCUGUCAAUCUCCAUAUUCAGGGCAGGCAGCGGCUACAUUGAGAUCUGGCGGUGGGCAGCAAAGCGAUAUACAAUGAGUCAGUCAUUGUAUUGCCGGUGGCUGUGGACCCCUUCACAGCGUCGGGCCUCCACUGGCAGUUCCGCCACUGUCCAACAUGAUAAACACAGCCUUCAAGACUGGAAAACACGUAAUAAUGCACAGAAGUCCUGUGCAUCAAUUUCAAUUGUCCCGUGCAUCACAAGGUUUAAAAAUUCAUAUGAUUUCACAGUUGUUUAAUUAUUUCAUUUCAUUUAUACCAAAGCAAUUUCUGAAGUAUAUUUAAAUAGAAAAUGCAUUUUACAAGCAUAUACCCCUUUACAAUUCACAGAAUUAUUCAUUACAUUCUGUUAAGGUAGAAAAUAUUAUUUUCUGCAAGUCCCGUGCAUCACACGCUUUUAAUUAUUUUUUCCUUUUAAACUGGUCUGCUAAGAAAUUGUUAUUAUAUGAAAACUUAAUUGCUUUGUAGCAAUGUCCUACCCUAUAACUUAAGACCCACUAAAGCUGUCCCGUGCCUCAGGAGAAUCGCCCUGAAUAGAGCACUGCCCAAAGCAUCCUUCGGUACUGUAGUAACUGAUGACUGCAGGGUGCCUUUCCAUGCACCCUACAUCCACAUGCAGAUGCACGUGGUAGCGAUGGUGCCACCCAAAGGGCCUUGCAUUCUGUGCGGCGGCACCAUUCACACACCUCAGUCUAAAUAUGACCCUGCGUAUACAAGUGGAUUACAAGCAGAAAUAGAGAAGCUGCUUCAUUUAAGUUAGAGAUGUGCGCCGGCCUCCGUCAUGGGUUUUGGUUUCGGGGCUGUAUCUCAUUCAUGUUUUG